UACUCGAGUGGCGAACGGGUGAGUAACACGUGGGUGAUCUGCCCUGCACUCUGGGAUAAGCCUGGGAAACUGGGUCUAAUACCGGAUAGGACCGCACUUUAGUGUGUGUGGUGGAAAGUUUUUUCGGUGUAGGAUGAGCCCGCGGCCUAUCAGCUUGUUGGUGGGGUAAUGGCCUACCAAGGCGGCGACGGGUAGCCGGCCUGAGAGGGUGUACGGCCACAUUGGGACUGAGAUACGGCCCAG
rnacentral:rRNA from 1 species